rnacentral:rRNA from 1 species
GUCUAAGGCCAUGCCACCUUGAACAAGCCCCAUGUCUUAUCUCGGAAGCUAAGCAGGGUUGGGCCUGGUUAGUACUUGGAUGGGAGACCACCGAGGAAGACCAGGUGCUGUAGGCA